UGUUGAGGCGCGCUGUUGAGGCGCGCGCGCGCGCCGGACUCGAGCUGUCGGCAUCUGUCUUCUCCUCCCCUCAGUCCCGCUCGGCAGCCGCGGCGGCAGGAGCAGCAGCAGCUUGGAUAGCAGUGUCGCGCGUCCUUCUUCUCUUCUUCGUUCUCCUUCUCCCCCCCACCCCCGCGCUCAGGGCACGAUGCAGUUUAUGUUGCUUUUUAGUCGCCAGGGGAAACUGAGACUCCAGAAGUGGUAUGUCCCAUUAUCUGACAAAGAAAAGAAGAAAAUCACAAGGGAACUUGUUCAAACAGUAUUAGCCCGUAAACCGAAAAUGUGCAGCUUCCUGGAAUGGAGAGAUCUGAAGAUUGUCUACAAAAGAUAUGCAAGCCUCUACUUCUGCUGUGCAAUUGAAGAUCAAGACAAUGAACUAAUAACUCUGGAAAUAAUUCAUCGCUAUGUAGAACUUCUUGACAAGUAUUUUGGCAGUGUAUGUGAACUUGAUAUCAUCUUCAAUUUUGAAAAAGCCUAUUUCAUUCUGGAUGAGUUCCUUUUAGGAGGGGAAGUUCAGGAGACUUCCAAGAAAAAUGUUCUCAAAGCCAUUGAACAGGCAGAUCUUUUACAGGAGAGCCAGAAUGAAGACUGGGGAGGUUUGUCUGAGGAUAUCUUAUGAUUAAGAGCAAUCUAAGGCAUUAGCCCUUUUGACCCCCAUCUAAAUGAUUGCCACGUCAUGAAUACUUUAAUGUCCCAGUGUACUAAAUGGCUUCAUUCAUCAUGCAUGCAGAAUUUCAGAGGAGAUAGACCUGUGACUUACUCAUGACAGAACAUUAUCAUCAGCUUGGUGAAUCCAGUCAUCUUGAACUUAAUAGAAUACCACAACCAUUCUCUGCUGUUAUACUUUUCUCCCUUUGUUUGGCAGUGUUGUCUCAUCAUGUGUCUCAUUUCAACAAAACUCGUGCUUGUUGGCAUAUGGUUUAACAUUUUACUGUGUGUAAGCUUAAAGUCUUGUGCUUAAAAGUUCUGCAGAAUUUUCUGAGCUAAACAUACUGCAACACCUAUACUGUAAUGUUAUAUGACCUGUGUUUAUCUUUCAAAUAAGUUGUGGUGUUAUUUAAACAUAUGCUUAAAACCUGUAGAUGAAGUUAAUACAGAGAAACUAGCCGAGGACUAAGUAGUAUGUGAAAUAUGUAUACAAACAAGUAUUGAAUGAUGUUGCACAGAAUUCUACACAGACUUUGCAUCUUUCUUAAAGAUGCACGUAACAGUAUCCUUUUCUGAGAGUGGCACGAUAGUGUGACUUAUAAAAAGAGGAAGGCACAAUUGAUUAGGGCAAAGAGCAUGAUUUAUGUAAAUCUGAAUUUAGAACAUUUGUAUUUCAAUGUUCAGAACAUUUUUGUGAGUAGCUGAACAGUUGCUGCUGCUGAAGGAGAGAACAAGUUCAUUGCUUUGCAAAUGAUUAGAGUUGGAAAGAUCUCUUUUUUUAAAGUCCAUUAAAGGCAUACUUGAAAUAUGUCUCCUUCAAUUGGCAUUUCCAAUUUUAAGUGCAGACUACCUUGUAUAUCAGAGAACUGCCACGAGGAUGAAUACAUUAAGUACCUUUCAAUUAAAAAGCACAGGCAGAAUGAGAGGGCAUGUAUUGCAUCCUCUGUUUUCCUGCUAGGGUAACUUGUAACCUAAAACCAAUGCUGGUUUUGAAAAUUGUUUAAAUGUAAUUAGCAAGGAAGUGGUUACUGAGGUUAACCACAAACAGCUAGUUCCAUGUACUAUAUGUGGUAAUGCACUACCUUUCAAUGUUAAACUGACAUCAAAACUGGAGAUCUAGGGGAUUAGACGAAAGAUUUGGAUUGGACUUGCAGCAUUCUGAAAUCUUAGAGAACAAGACCUAGGAGUGGUUUUCCAUUUCCAAGUUUGCCUCUUUCCUGUAAAACCUUAACAAUGUGUUUGACUGUCUGGUUAAUGCUGCUUUAGCCUGCAUUAUUUCAUGCCUGUUGGCUUAAAAUGCUGUGCAUUGAGCUGUAAUGAGAUGCUGUUUUUCUUGUUAUCUGUAUACAGCUGCUUGCUUCUAAAUGACUAGGUAAUGAAUUAGCUUUCCUGGCAUGUUUGAAAUAAAGUAUUGCAUGCACUUUUGUCUCAUGUGAAUGACUUUUUUUUUUUUCCUCAUCUGUGUUCUGAUAUAUUUCAAAUUUGCACUGUUUGCCUUGAGUGAUUCUGAGCUGCAGGUAGCGUAUAAUAACGCAGAACAUUUUCCAUAACAAUUGGAUAAAAUGUUUGACACUUCCUAAAACAAAUACUGCAAACAACAUGUAAUAGAACUCAUCCUAUUUGUUUCUUAAAAGUCAUAAUUGAUGAAAUUACUCCCCUAGCAAAACACAUUAGCCCUUAGUUGUUCCUUUUGAGAUUAUAUUGUUGGUGUGCAUGUAAAAAGGCACAUCUGCCUCAAGGUUACUGCUUGUAAAAUCUGAGCUCUACUGGUGAGGUGUCUGUGGACAACUUGUCUUUGAAAUACAUUGCUUUAAAUUCAUUGUUAGUGACCUUGAUUUACCUGAAGAAAUUUAACCUUUAUUUGAGUAUAUGCCUGUCAAAAAUUACCUACAACUUUGAAUUGGUGGAGGGGAUGAUAAUACUACAUUGCUCUAUAGAGAGUAGCAGUAGUGCACUGUAUUUCUUAAUAGCUUUUGAGCAACUAUUUUUUUCAGGUAAUUUUGUAAAUAUCCUGUUUCACCACAGAGUAACUGUAAGUGUCUGCUGUUGCCAAAUCAGCUUAAAACUGUGAAAAAAAGACUUAUUACAAUUAUUUUCCAGACCCUGAAAUGCUCCAGUAGUUACCUUGUGUUAGACUACUCUGGGUUACACUGCUGUGGUUAAGAGCAUAGGAUUUUUUUUUUUUUGAGUAAAACACUUUAAAUUAGUGAUAGGGAAGAGACAAAGUAAUCUGGGAAUAUAAUAUGUCAGGUUAUAUUAAAAAUGCUGCAUAGCAUUUUGUUCAAUCAAUGUCUCCUUUUGGGGAUCUGUGUUCAAAUACACAGGCAAGUCUUUAACCGUGCCAUCCUGUCUGACUUUAUUGAGGUCACUGCAGUUCAAAUAAUAUUUAAAUAUUGCAGCAGUGAGAAAACACUCACUGUACCUUUAAUACACCAAGUUUCCAGUUUCAACUUGCUGCUCUCUUGCAAUUUUUUAUUUGUUGCUGGAUUUUGGAAGCCACCUUGAAGUGUUUGGAGGUGUUCUGUUCCGAGCUCUGACUGAAUUUCAGAUAAGCUGCCUUUAAAAUGCCACAGCUCAUUCCUUCAGUACUAAACCACCUCAUACAUGAACUGAAUGAGUAUUGUGAACUUGAUCAUUUUGUGCUACUAAGUCAAGGUUGAUAGACACACGGUUUUGCUGUGAUUUGCAAGAUGGAAGAUGUUUAAUUAUGUAUUUUAAUGACAGGAUUUUUUUUAAAUAAUACUUAGAAAGCAGUUAAAAUAUUUUGUUUGCAGCCUUAACUAUUAUCUACUUUUUUCUUCCUGCUUCUUGACAUAUCUUGUUUUAGGAUGCUAAAGAAGCGGAGACCCCACGUAGUGUACUUGAAGAAAUUGGAUUGACAUAAAUCUUCACUUCAGCUGACGACCUCUCAGUGUUUCAUACUGUAAAUGUUCACUGCCUUCAUUGUAAUGUUUAGCUAAUGGUGUAAGAUGCUGUUUGUCAGUAUUACUGUUUUGCUAAGCUGCUUCAUUCAGGCCUACGAGAAAUGACUCCUUUGAAAAGGGAACAAGUAACUAAAGUCCCAAAAUCAUAAAUGAAAGGGAAUUGGAUUUAAAUUGACUCAGUGUCUCCCUUCACUGCAUUUAUAGGAGAAUUGCAUUUGACUUCAAUAAGUGUUUUUUAUAAGCAAACUUGUCUUCAGGAAAUAAAUGUGUCAUUAUAACAUAGCAUAUCUAAAUGAAUCUACAGAACCACUCCAAAUGUGAAAUGAUAUGGUGUAGAAAUUGUGUUUAUGCAACCAAAGACUUCUGUUCAUCAGCUUUUUUGUCACCACUUGUGAUAAUUCUGCUUAUUUCAGUUGAUGCAUAAAGGUUGGAAAUAUCUGUUUACUACUGAAUUUGUCAUAAUACCAAAGAAUCCUGCCAGGAUCUGCAUAUCAAACUGUUAAAAACUGUUAAGGUGAUACUGCUUUUUGCAAGAAAACCACAAACCGGUCGACUUGCUCGAAACAAAGAUGUAUUUAAGUGUAGCUACCUUGAGCAAAACUCCGCAAGUUACUAUACUCAAAAGGGAAUGCAUGUAGCAAAUAAACAAUUUUGAAAUAAGGAAACUGUUUUUGUGUCAGAGACCAGCUCUUUCCAGGACGAUGAAGGACAGGCGGACCACUGCUCUUUGAGCAAGUGACAGUUUAUUGCUUCUUCUUAUGCUCUUUUUAUAGUCAGUACAUAUCGCAAAGGUCAUCAGUAUAGGUUAACAAACAAUAUGAGUACGUAUAUUUUCUAUAUGCUACAAAUCAAUCAAAUGUUAUCUACAAAAUUUAUGGUACUGUUUACUACAUUUUUGUGAUAUAUGUUCCGUGGCUACAAGACAUCUGGUGUCGUUAUCAUUGUUGUGUAUACAGGAUGUUUUUGCUUAAGUUAGGGGCUUUGUUUAAGGAGCCAACCCUUUCAGGCAGGCUUCCUUAGAAAAGAUUAACCCUUACCAGGCAAAUCCUUUCGAGGGCCAUUCUACCCUUUCAGGCAGAUUGGUCUCAUCAUUUCACCCUUUUUUCUUUUUAUUCAGUAUGUAUUGUAGCGGGAACGUGUUGUGUAGCCAUUAAUUGUAAUUUUUUAGUUUUUAUUCUCGUUUGUUUUAUCAUAUCAUACAUUAAACGAAAUAUGCAAGGUAAUACUACAACUAGGACAAUUAUGCAUAAAGUUGCUCCUAUAAGGCAAUAGAUUCCUUUAUAAAAUGAGGAUAAGGAUGGAAAAGAAGCUUUUAAAACACUAACAAAAUCAUGAGCACGUUGGGCGAGAGGCAACUGCAAUUUUUCUGUAUUUUGUAGAGAGAGAAUUUCUCCAUGCAAUUGUUUUAAGUUAAUUGAAGAGUUGGCAUUAUUCCAUAUUAUGCUAAGCCAAUAAGCAAAGAUCUGUAAUGAUGACCAAUAGUUAAAAUCAUGUUGUUGUGGUCGAAGUUGUUGUGGUAUCAGCAUCAGGCGUUGAAACCUCUUUCGGAGCUUGCCUAUUUUCGUUUUUGGCAUGUCGAACACAGCGUUCUGGAAUCCACCGAGGUACAGGCUCAUCUGUUGGGAAAAUACAAACAUACCCUCUACCCCAUAAUAGAACCGGGUCAGGGCCUCUCGUGGAUCCAUCAAUAGGAUCUUUCCAUAAUACUGCAGGUUUCUGCUGAGCUGGGGAUUGCCAAUGACGAUCAGCAGCCGAAAGGCCAGCUGCAUCGAGAGUAAAAAAGUUUAAAACAAAAAGAGCAUGAUUUAACAAAGACAAAGGAGUGUCCUUAAUCCCCCAUGUCCCCGUUUUUAAUUUCUUUAAUUGUGUCUUCAGAGUAAGGUUAAAGCGUUCAAUCAUGCCUUGACCCUGUGGAUUAUAAGGAAUCCCUGUUUUAUGUGUUAUAGAAAAAUGAGCACAAAAUUUUGAAAAUUUAGCACUAGUAUAUGCGGGGCCAUUAUCUGUCUUGAUAGUCUUUGGUAUACCUAAGACUGAAAAACAGUGUAACAAAUGUGAAAUUACUUGUGCGGUUGAUUCUCCAGACAAAGGAGUGGCUACUGCAAAAUGAGAAAAGGUAUCAAGGGUUACAUGGAUAUAAGAGAGGCGGCCAAAAGAAGGAUAAUGAGUAACAUCCAUCUGCCAGAGAUCAUUAGGUAAAAGACCUCGAGGAUUAACUCCAUAAUGAGGAAUUGGUAAAAAAGAAACACACGAAGAACAUGUUCGAACAAUUUCUCUAGCUUGUUCUCGAGAGAUAUGGCACAUACGUUGUAGAGUAGCUGCAGGUAAGUGAUGCAGAGAGUGCAAACGCUGGGCUUCUGCAACAGUAGCAACAGUAAAACGAGUUAACAAAUCAGCCUGAUUGUUGCCGUGACUCAAAGGUCCAGGUAAUUUAGAGUGACUACGAAUGUGUCCUACAAAAAGAGGUGCAUCUCUUAUUAUUAAGAGAGAUUGAAUCAGACCAAAAUAUCGUUGUAUAAAAGAAACUUUAGAAGCUAUGACAGGAACUGUUUCUAAAAAUUGUAAUGAAGUGACAAUGUAACGACUGUCAGAAUAGAUAUUCAAAGGCUCAGAAAAUUUCAACAGUGCUUGAUAAAUUGCAUAUAAUUCAGUCAUUUGUGCAGAAACAUUCUCUAAUUUCCAAACAAAUUGGUCUGUAGGAGUAUACAAAACUGCUUGUCCAUUAGAUGAUCCAUCUGUAAAAACAGUCAAUGCUCCUGUUAUAGGGGCUCCUUUAACGACCCUAGGAAAAGCUAAAGAAUGAUAGGUAGCAAAACUAAGAAUUUUAUCAGAAGGGAACUUUUGUGUUAUUUCUCCAGGAAAAGCAGCUAAGGCUACAGCAAAAUCGUCUACAGUGGCCAUCAGCCAAGUAAUUUGAGCAGGUGUGUAUGGAAUUCCAAUUACUGCCGGUUCUUUCCCAAGAUGAGUAAUACAUAACUUUCGUCCUUGUUUAAUUCGUUCUGCUAUCUUUUGAGGAUAUGAAACAAGAACUCCUUUUGCAGAGUGAGAUCCAUGUAUCCAACACAGAACACCGUCUUGAUACAAGACUCCUGUAGGAGUCAUUACUGUAGGCAAGAUAUAUAAAAAGAAAGACUUUGUUAUGUCUGCAUAUUGUAAUUGAGCAUUUUCUAUGGCUUUUUCAACCAAUCGAAGAGCUUGUUUUCCUUCUUCUGUUAACUUGCGAGGAGAAGUAGGAUCAGGGUUUCCCUCAAGUAUUUUAAAAAGAGGAUGCAAAUCGGCUGUCGUUAACUUAAGAAAAGAUCUGAGCCAAUUAAUGUCUCCCAAAAGUUUUUGAAAAUCAUUCAAGGUUUUUAAAGAAUUUGUUCGUAUGGCAAUUUUUUGUGGCAUAAAAGAUUUAGGAUAUAGUUGAAACCCCAAAUAUUGAAAAGGAUAUGAUUUUUGUACCUUUUCUUGUGCUAUUUUCAAACCAUGUUUAGUUAACAUCUGUUCAAUAUGAGCAUAAGCAUGUUGCAACUUAUCGAUAGAUGAGGCUGCUAAAAGGAUAUCAUCCAUAUAAUGGAUACAAAGAACAUCAGGAAAUUGUUGUCUAGUCGCUUUUAUACUUUCAUGAACAAAUUUUUGCCAAAGAGUAGGACUAUUAGCCAUUCCUUGAGGCAAUACUUUCCAUUGGUAGCGUUCCAUAGGUUCACUAAAAUUUAUGGAUGGAAUGCUAAAAGCAAAUCGACAUUUGUCAUCUGGAUGUAAGUGGAUAGUGUAAAAACAAUCUUUUAAGUCAAUAAUUAUUUUUUCAAAAUUUUGAGGAAUGGCAAUAGGACUGGGUAGACCAGGUUGUAACGCUCCCAUGGUACACAUUGUUUUAUUGACUUCUCUCAAGUCUUGGAGAAGUCGCCAUUUCCCCGAUUUCUUUUUUAUAACAAAAAUAGGUGAGUUCCAUGGUGAUGUGGAAGGUUCUAUAUGACCUAAUUGUAAUUGUUCCACUACUAAUUGACGAGCAGCUUGCAAUUUUUCUUUAGUUAGAGGCCAUUGAUCAACCCAAACAGGUUGAUCUGAUUUCCAACAGAUUUUAUCUGCAUACAUAGUUACUGAUAAAUUUAUCAGAUUAACUGCUAGGCGUAUAAAGGUAUGCACCCAUUUGUGUCAAGAUAUCUCGGCCCCAGAGGUUAAGAGGCAAGCUUUCUAGUACAUAUGGUUGAAUGGAACCAGAGUGUCCCUCUUUGUCUGUCCAACUUAACAACUUACAGCUUUGAAGAGGCAAAUUUGCAACUCCAAUUCCUUUUAGAUCAGCUGAAGCAUGCUGUAAAGGCCAUUCUUUUGGCCAUUGUUUUAAAGUCAUUACCGAUACAUCUGCUCCGGUGUCCAAGAGUCCUGUAAAAUUUUUACCAUCAAUUGUUAACUGAAGUUCAGGUCUCUGAUGAUUGAUGGGCUGUAAAAGAUAAACGUCAGUAGAUCCAAAACCGCCUGUUCCCCGAAUGGGGGAAUCAGCUUUUCCUAUAGAUGAAACAUAAGGAAUUAAAAGCAACUGUGCAAUCUUUGUUCCUGCAGGUAGAUUAAAGACAGAAGUUUCAGAUUGUAACAUAACUUUUAACUCUCCUUCAUAAUCACAAUCAAUUAGUCCUGGUAUAACUCGCAAUCCUUUCAUGCUCAGACUACUUCGUCCCAAUACCAAACCGCAUGUUCCCGCAGGUAAUGGGCCAUAUAUCCCUGUUGGGAUAGCUUGUGCCCCCAUUUCAGGUGUUAAUACGAAGUGGGAGGAGGAACACAGGUCCAGUCCGGCACUAUGACUGGUGGCUCGGUGGAGUUGUGAAAUGGAUUGUUUAGCUGGUGCUCUGAGGUUUGCACCUGCACAGGAUACAUCCCCUGUUUGUUUGGGUGGGCCCGGGGCAAGCCCAUUGAGAAGUUUCCCGACUGUAAGGAAUUGCCGUUCUUAUCAUAUUUAGAUCGGCAUUCAUUAGCCCAAUGAUUAUCCUUUUUGCAUUUUGGGCAUAAACCUGGAUUUUUUCCAUUAUUACUUGGAAUCUUUUUAUUAGGACAUUGACGUACUUGAUGCCCCAUUUGUCCGCAAUGAAAACAGCUACCAGGAGGGCCUGCAACCCUUCUGUUUUGCUUAAAUUGCAUUGCAGCUAAAACUUGCUCAACAGGUUUGCCCUGUUGUGCUGCGGCAGUGACUAUGCCUUGAAUAUAUCCAGAGCUAACAUCAGAACAUAAUCUGAUAUAGUCAUUUAAUGUUGAUUUAUUUUUCCAAGGUCUUAAUAUGGAUUGACAGAUAUUAUUAGCAUUUUCAAAAGCUAAUUCCUUAACUAAAAUCAUAGCUGAAUCGGUGUCUUGUAUGAGCCUAGAUGAAGUUUGUAACAAACGAGAUACAAAAUCAUGAUAAGGUUCAUCUGGUCCCUGUCGGACUUUAGUUAAUUCUUCCCUAGACGUUCCAUGUCUAGGUAGCCCUUUCCAGGCUUUCAAACCAAUUUCUCGAAUGGCAUCAUAUGUCGCAGCAGGGUAAGUUAAUUGUUGUGCCAGAUCAACAUGCGGUCCUGUGCCAGCUAACAUUUCAUGAGUAAUUCCUUGUUGGCGAAAGUGUGGUUUUUGAGAAUAAUCAUAACAGGAAUCCAUAAAAUCUGUAAGCCAUAACAAAUAUUCUCCUCCCGUUAAGGUAGCUUUAGCUAAGCCUUUCCAGUCCCAUGGGGGAAGAACUUCAGCUGCAAUGGUCUCUAGAAUAGCAAUAGUAUAUGGUGCAGUUGCACCAUAUUGAGCAGCAGCUGUUUUCAAUUCUUUAAGAUUCUUAAAUGUAAUGGAUGUAUAUGUAGCAAUUCUAACAUUGGCUUGAGUAGGGUGAGGAGCAUAUGUUAUAGGAUAAGCAUGCAAUAUUUUUGAAAACCCACUCACAUCUUCACCUUGUUGUUUAGCUUGUAGCAAUGAUAACUGUAAGGGUGAGUGAGGUGAUAUUUGAUGGUAUAUGUCAGGAGGGGGCGGACGUCUACCAGCUUCUAUUGCUGGUAAAACAACAGGUUCCUUUUUUAAAAGUGUUUGCUGUUUCUUCAAUUUAAAAGGCGUAUUAACAAACACUUGAUCAUCUUCAUUAUGAUACUGAGCAGCUUCUUUUUCUAAUUCAGCUUCCUCAUCGGAGGAUAAUUCUUCAGAUAAUUCUAUAGGUCUCAAGGCGCUCUUGCUUUGUUUUAACGGUCGGCAUUUUUUACCUCCCGUAUUUGAGUACAUAAGAAAGGGAUUUUUAAAUUUAGAUUCCUGAAUAUCUUUUUGUUCAUUAUUGAUUAUUGAUGGAUAUUCAGGUGGAGCAGAGGGUUGUGAAUCGGGAUUAGUAAGAGCAGAAGGUUUUAAACCUGAAUCCGCUGAACGAGAUCGAGGACGUGUUUGUCGUUGCCAUUUAUCAUAUUCAGUAUCACCUUGUAAACAUUCUUUAAUUAAAGUCCAUAAAGGAAAAGCAUCUAUAGGGAUCUUAUCAGGGCCAUUAGCAGCAUAAUAGCUUUUAAUGUUUUCACCAACCUUAUUCCAGGUUUCCAAGUUAAUAGUGCCUUUAUUCGGAAACCAAGGACACACAGUGUCUAUAAAUUCUAAAAAUCCACCCACUUGCUUGGUGGUUAUAGAUAUAUUUCGACUUUUUAACAAUGUCUUGACCAUAGCUACAAACAGCUGUCUUUCCGUACUAUGUACAUGUCCCAUAUUUUAAAUUGUAAAUGCUGAAUAUGAGGGAGCCCUACCGUUGAGUCACGAGGUUCAGUUUGGACCCCCUUGCUUUCUAAGACACCUUAUAGAAAGGGCUUAGGUGCGGCUGGAUCCAGACUUAGUCUCAGACUUGGUCAACGGAAAAUCUAAGACAAAAAAGGGAUUUUUGUUUUUAUUUUACUGAGAUAAAUUUCUACUUUCUUAUAUUUUACACCUUCCUAGUAGUUCUGCCCCCCUUUAUUUCCCCUUUUCCUUACCGCGGUUCUGUUGAUUCGGAGGCAGCUCACCCUGGUCAAAGGCAACCGAGUUUCCCGGGUUUCGGCACCAUUUGUCAGAGACCAGCUCUUUCCAGGACGAUGAAGGACAGGCGGACCACUGCUCUUUGAGCAAGUGACAGUUUAUUGCUUCUUCUUAUGCUCUUUUUAUAGUCAGUACAUAUCGCAAAGGUCAUCAGUAUAGGUUAACAAACAAUAUGAGUACGUAUAUUUUCUAUAUGCUACAAAUCAAUCAAAUGUUAUCUACAAAAUUUAUGGUACUGUUUACUACAUUUUUGUGAUAUAUGUUCCGUGGCUACAAGACAUCUGGUGUCGUUAUCAUUGUUGUGUAUACAGGAUGUUUUUGCUUAAGUUAGGGGCUUUGUUUAAGGAGCCAACCCUUUCAGGCAGGCUUCCUUAGAAAAGAUUAACCCUUACCAGGCAAAUCCUUUCGAGGGCCAUUCUACCCUUUCAGGCAGAUUGGUCUCAUCAUUUUUGGAUCUGCUAUUGGCUUGCUCUGAACAUCAACACAAGGAAGAAGAUAGGCUAUCUAGACAGUAGAGGGAGUUGCAUUAUGAAAAUUGGAUAGUUUUGGAGAUGGGAAAGAAGAAGCUUUACAAAAGGGACUUAUUUUCUUUCUUACUCUACAAAUUAAUUUGUAUUUAUUGGUGUUUUAUAGUUUAUCUUAAUGGGUGUAUAGGUAGCUUUAAACAAAUCCCUCCCAAGAAAUGUCAAUGUCUUUUUCACUGCUCUACUUGACUUGCACCUUGAACAUGUGACGCAUCCCUUAAAAAACUCCUGUGUGCUGUGCAGUUGAGCCAACCACUUUGCAGUGAGAGCUUUCAAGUAUUAGGUUUCUGUAGUAGAUUCACUGCAAAUCACAUAAAGUGAUACCAAGUCAUAUUUUGACACUUUAAACAGGCUUUGAGCAAUUAAAGCUGUUUCACUUGAGGAAGUUCAAUUCACAUAUACUUUUGAGUUUGAAGGAGUUAGUGCCACAGUUUGGAGUAGCCAGGUUCUCCUGUGCAUCUGUAUGGCCCAGAGAGGGCAGGGCUGUCCCCUCCCAGCCCUUUCACCCUUGUAGCUUUACUCUAGGAGUCUUUGUUUUGGUUUGUGCACUUGAGUAGAAAUGCCACAUUUCCCCUGAGCUGAGCUGGAAGUAGCGGUGCGGGGCUAAUAGAAGCAUGGCCACAGCCAGCCCCAGAGCCUUGGUGUAGCCUGGCUUACAUUUAACUCCCAGGAAAGGCUCCGUGUUGCCCCUCAGAAGUGCCCUGCUGCAGCCCCCAGAGGAGGGGAGGUCUGCACACUUCAGCAUGGCAGCAGAGGGGAGCCUCUGAACUUAGAGUGUCAGAAUUUGUCCACUUAGGCCCUUUCUGGGAUUUAAAUAUCCAUCAUGGCUGCAGACCACUUUUAUCCCAGGGCAGGCAAAAGCAGCAGUUUGCAUUUCUCCAGGGCAUAGCAAGCAGGGCUUAGAAGAGGAUAAAGUAGCAGCAGUUGCAAGAGUGAAGUGGUGAAAUUUAAGUCAAACCCCGAAUCAGUUUCCUUUGUAUUAAACAUGUUUUUAAAGUUUACACUGUCACUUGUAUCUGCUUGGCUGGAUUAAGCUUUGUCGUGUUUGUGACAAAUAAACCGUUUGACUUCUGUCUGUCACGUUGGUUUAGUUGUAAUAAAUGUCCAUUUUUACACCA